CAGAGAGGGAGAAAAAAGCUGGGAGAAGGAGAGACUCCAAAGACCAGAGAGAAAACUUGUAAGAAACCUUAGAUCUAGGGAAAACCCUAGCCAUUAAACCUGCAAUUUUCAGCUGAGAUCAGAUCCAAGAAAACCAAUGCCAUUCAACCAAGCCAACCCUUGGUCUACAUUGAAGAGAGACAAGGAGGAUCCACGGUGAAAAUUAUAGCCGUAGUCCUGAUACAAGCGAGGCCUCGGGUUUGCCCGGCCAACUGACCCGGCCAAGUAUACUAUACAUGUGUCAUGGACGCCUCAACAUCAACGUAUCCUUCCUCGCCUGUCGACAUUACUAGUUAAAAAAAUGGGCAUGAGUGUGGUGCUCAAGUUAUGGUAGAUGAAGCUUAUCAUGAUUCUCCGUUUGAUGAGGAUAUACUUGCAAUAGAUGGAGAAGACGAUCCUAUACUUAUAGAUGCAGAGGCAGCCCUAACAAGAGGUGUAAGUAUCAAACCCACAGUAGGAAUGACAUUUAUUAGCGAAGAUGGAGCUGAUGAUUAUUAUAAUAAGUAUGCAAAACUGGUGGGGUUUGGUAUAAAAAAGGGAAGAACCAUUUGGAACGUGGUGGAAAAAUUGGUCAGAUUAUAAAUAUUGUAGGCAAGGUUUUCGUAGUCAAAUGUAUAGCGGGAGUGAAAUGCUCGGCCCCAUACAAAAUGUGGAUGUUAGGCAAAGAUCUACAUUAAGAAGAAUGAGAAGUAGAGAUGGCUUAUUGCGAAGUUCGUAAAAGAAUAUAAUCAUAUUCUCAUAACGCCCAACAAGACUAGAUUCAUUUGUUCUCAUCGAAAGAUACCAAACACAAUGAAAAAGGUGAUUGACACAUUGGAGUCUUCUAUUGCUAAGUCUAGGGUUAUGAUGGAUUACUUUAUAGAAGAGGUCAGUGGGGCAGAAAAUGUCCAUUUCAUUGAGAAAGACCUUGAAAAUUGUAUAAUUAGAAAAACAAAACAACUUAAAGGGAAAGAGGGUAUCGUUGUUAUGAGUUGGUUUCAUGCGAAGAAAGAAUUAGACCCUUCAUUCUUUUAUAGAUUUCAACUUAAUGAGGUGGGGAGGCUGAUUAGUGUUAUAUGGGUUGCUUCAAAGUCUAUAUUAUCAUACCAAUUUUUUAGUGACGUGGUAACCUUUGACACCACGUACCAAACGAAUGAAUUCAGUUUGCCCUUUGGCCCAAUCCUUGGAGUUAAUCAUCACACUAACACAAUUUUCCUCGAAUGUGCUCUUAUUUUCAAUGAAACUACAGAAACCUUCAUUUGGUUAUUUGAGUAUUGGCUAGAGGCAAUGGGAGACCGCCGACCAGGUACAAUUAUCACUAAUCAGGAUUUAGCUAUAAUGGCUACAGUUAAGACAGUUUUCCCGAAUACUAAUCAUUACUAUUACAAGUGACAUAUCAUGGGAAAGUUUAAAACACAUCUAAGCCAUGUUGAGCGUGCAUACCCAUUAUUCUUAGAGGUAUUAAAAAAGUGUAUUGUAGCCCACAUAGUUGACCAACAUGAGGCUGAUUGUUUAGCUAUGAUUUAGAAAUAUGAUCUUCAAGACGAAAGUUGGCUAAAGUGGUUAUAUGGUUGUCGCACUCAAUGAGUUGAUGCAUACAUAGUUUGGUAGGUUCACGGCUGGCAUGAAAACCACACAACAAAGUGAAGAGUUCAAUCGUCAUUUAAAGAUAUAUGUCACUUCUAGAAUAGGUUUGACAAAAUUCAUGAAUGCUAUUGAAAAGUUACAAAACAAGAAGUUCAUCAAAGAAAAAAAGAAAGACAUUAAAGAUAUUAUAUCCACACUUGUUUUAAAGACUGUAUUUCAUAUCGAGGAGCAUAAAACAAAGAUAUACACUCAUAAAGUUUUUGAAAAGUUGCAAGAAGAGAUGGUAAUGUCCUCAAAUUGCCUUAGCAAAUUAAUAGAAGGCAAUGAUGAAUUUGUCAAUUAUAAGGUGGAAGACAUUCAUGGUGUUUUUAUCCCUCAAAUGGUUACAUUUAUUGAAUUAGGGAUAAAGUGUAUAUGCACAUGUCAGGUUUUUGAGCGUGUUGGAAUCCCUUGUUCACUUAAAGUGUUCAACAUGAGAAAUGUAUUGAAGAUCCCAGAGGCAAAAAAGGUGGUCAAAGACAAAUGUUGUGGUUGUAGUUUGACUUAUCUAAAUUUCUGAGGUUCAUUCGACAUCAUGAGCUUUAUGACUUUGUGAGAAUAAUUGUAGAACCAGAAUUAGAAAGUGAUGAUCUAUUUGAUAAAGUGAAGUUUUAUGCAAGUUAGCUGAGGAUGUCAAUGAAUCAAGAGAGCAUUAUUGAAUAUUCUUGCACCGUCACCCUCCACUCAUUGCAGUGUUCCUGAAGAUGAAGUAUGCGGCAACAUUAGAUCAGUUGAUGCUUCCCCUUUUGUAUUUGAUCCACCAUGUACACGAGUAGUUGGACGACCAAGGACUAAAAGCAGAAAACCUUCAUGGGAGAAAGGGCAAAAGGCUUCUACAAAAAAAACACAGUCGGAGGAAAGGCCACUCACUAGAAGAAAGUGUAUAGUUUGCAAUAAGAGUGGCAUCACAAGCGUAAUUUUCCGGUGACGGCGCAUGGGAUGUAAGUGCUUGUUUGCUUAUGUUUCAGACAUACUAAACAUAACUGUCUUUAUUUCGUUUUAGUUUUCAUUUAUCUUUUGCUUUAUGCAUUGGAUUGACAAUACACCUUUCUCUUACAAAACCACUGAGGACCAUGAAUCGAGUUGAGGCCAUAACAAACGAAAGGGCUGCAAUUACUCUGAGGAUAUGACAAAUUACGAGACUGCAUUCGCAUGGAUGAUAUGGCAACUUGUAGGGCUUCAUUUGCACAAAUGCAUAAUGGAAUUUUUGUAUUGACUAAUUUUUGGAAAUUUGGAGAUAUGUAAAUAACCUUUUUAUAAUUGACUUUCAGGGUUAUAUGAAUAUUGAAUAAUCAUAUAUUUUUUGGGCUAUGUACAUGACCUAUUUAUGGGGCAUGUAAAUGACCUAUUUAUAGGGCCUUCUAAAGGACUUAAUUAUGGGGGCAUAUAAAGGAUCUAUUUUGGGGUCAUGUAAAGGAUCUAUUUUUUGAAUCAUGUAAAAGACUGAUUUAUGGA